rnacentral:lncRNA from 1 species
GAUGACUAGUAUUAUGAUUAUGUUCAACCUAGUGGGGUGCUGAUGUAUUUACUUUUGUUUUACUCUAUUUUUAAUUUUAUUUUUUUUGGGUUUUAUUACCUUUUUUUACCCUAAGGCUCGGUUAUUAUGACAUUUUAAGUUUUUUGGGUUUUAUUACCUUUNUUUUGGGUUUUAUUACCUUCCAAUGGGCAGGAAAACAGCGAUUGGGUUGAUUGGCAGACAAAUGUUCUGCUUAAGCGCAAUGCUUUAGAAAAUGUCUUCCAAUGGACAUGCGGG